CCAACAGCUCCAGCCAAGAAGCCCGGACCUCCUGCAUUGCCAGCAUCAGAAUUUCACUCCUUGGGAUAAAGGAAUUGUCUGGCCUAUCCCUCCACCCUCCUUGCAAAUAGAGCUUUCCCCAGAGGAACGGAAGGCAAGCCCCCACCCUACCUAACCUGCACUUUAUCUUGCUGAAUGAAGUGAACCCUGGUGGGCUGUCUCGGACCAAUCCUCAGCCCCAACAAAAAAUGGCAAAAACGUGAACUCUGAUGGAAUGUGAACAAUCAAAAGACUGUUCCACACACACGGCCGCCCCAGGCCUCACCGCGGGCUGGCCUGUCCCUAGCGCAAGCAGCGCCCCGAGCCGGCUCAGCAUGAUGGCGGCCCGGCCCGGCUCCGGGCGGCGGCGGCGGCGGCGGCGGCGGCGGCGGCGAGGGCGGAGGAGGAGGUGCCCGACGCGAUCAGGAGGCGGGGCCCGGCCCGGCCCGGCCCGGCCCGCUCCGCCCCGUCCCGGCCCGGCGGGGCUGGGGAGUCCCGGGCUCCUGCAAGGAGGGCGCACGCGGAGCCUGGUGCCGGCGAGCGAGGAUGGCCCCUUCGCGCGGGAGCGGAGGCGUUUGGAUGAGGCCUUAGGGUCCCCCCUGAAUUGAAGGUUGGUGGCUCUGCAAGGCUCAGCGCCCCCGCCCCCAACACGGUAGCCCCUCGGGCCACGUGUGGCUGUGGCGCACUUGAAAUGUGCUGUGUCAGUUACACCCCGGAUUUGGAAGACAGGGAAAGAAUGUUAAAAUAGCGCACUAAUCGUGUUUCAUAUUGAUGACAUGUCGCAACAGUAAUAUACGAGUAUUGGGUUUAUUGAGUUAAGUAUAUUGUUAAAAUUAAUUUCGCUUGUUGCUUUUUACUUAAGUGGCUACUAGAAAACGUGAACGAUGUGUGCGGCUGCAUUAUGUUUCUAUCGUGCAGCGCUGCUCUAGAGGUCCCGCCGAGGAACAGAAGGUGGGUCUCCCAUGUAGGGGGCACACCUGAGAAAUUAUGCCUAAGAAUUACGCAGGCACAGCCCUCCACUAGAACAGGCUUCCUGGGAUGUGCAGAGAGGACCUUAGGGACGCCUUCUAGCUGCCACUACCACCUCCAACACCAGGAAUAGAAAGAGUUCCUGAGCACAGGGCUGAUGCCUGUUUCAAAUGCAUUUCUGCUAAUCACUACAUCACAUGAUAAGAUAAGGCAUCAGGGAGUAGCCCCUGUCCCUGAGUUGUAGAAUGUAGAGCUUUGGGGAGCCACCUGCCAUUUGGGGCCAUUCCCCAGGAGGGCUGAGACCCAGGAGACAGUGACCUGUCUGGACCUGACUGUGUGCUAUGGAGCGGAGCCUGCAGUCCAGACUGAGUCAGAGCCAGGAGGCCAAGCCCAAGCUGAAUGAGGAUUUGGAUCUCAGUUUUCUGACAGCUGCUUGGGAAGGAGAUGUUUUCAAAGAGUUAGCUGCAAAUGGGCUCCAGGAGCACUGUGGGAAACGUGAGGAGGCUGUUAGGUUGGCCUCAAGUGUAUAAGAACAAAGAGAAGAAACAAGCCUGUUCUGUGUUGUCAGGAAGCACCUUAAUAAGUUAGGAAACCUGAGUCCAGUCACCGUGAUUUUGCUCACAGGUAAAGUAGGCUGGAUGGAUCGAAUCAGCAUUUCUCCCCUAAACACGUUCCAAGGAAUGCUAGGGAAUAAUGGAAGGCCUCAGGAGUUCAUAACCUUUUGUUUGACUAGAUUUUUAAGUGUUAUUUUAAAAACUCUAAUGAAAGUCAAUGUACAUGCUAUAUGUGUUAUAUGCCAAAAGUGUUAGAGACCCACUGAUGUAUUAAAUUCCACUGGCAGGUUAACUCAUUUGGGGAAGACCUUUGAAUAAAGCCUCUCCUAUCAGCUUAAGUGAAGAGUCAGGCUGUCUCGGCGUUAGCUGUUUAAUGAGCAAGGCGCUAAGCCCAGAUUCAGGGGAGAGGGCCAUACUCCUGCAACUCAGUAGGAAGAAUGUGAAUGAAUUUAUUCACAGGUUUUUAAACCACCACGAUUUUAUAACUACUCAUCCGUGUGAAUCAGAUUUCCUCAAUACUGUGCAACCAAAUACAGUAAUAAAUAAAUACAGCGCUUGAUAGAAGUGCAA